AUGGCAGAUGCACCUUUGUACAAGCAGCACCGCAAGUACACCAGGGAGCUCCACGACGUCCUCCUCCACGGCAAUCACAAAUUCCACGUCCUUUGCACAAGCAAGGGCAAAGAGGUGGACAAGAUGUUGUCCACGUUCAGGAGGAAGCUCGGCGGAAUGCCCGUCAAACUAGUCGGUGUUGAUGUCGAGUACACACACUACAAGAAGCCACAGCGUGCAGCGGUACUACAGCUAUGCGUAGAAAAAGAAUGCCUUGUCUACCACAUAUCUGCAGCUAAAGACAGGAGACAAAAGCAAGCUGAGGUAUCUGGUUUGGAGAUCAACUCCAACAACUACAUUGAUAUUCAGGUGGAAUGGAGAGACCCAUACAAUAAAAAGAAGUUUGACUCUUUGGCUGAUGUUGCUGGCAGGAUGAUAGACAUUCACUACCAUGACAUGAAGAAAAGAAUUAACCGCAAGGAGGACCAUACUCUGUGGGGACUUUGCCCGCUGCCAAAAAAGCUUAUCAAGUAUGCAGCAAUAGAUGCAUUCGCAACAUAUGAGUCAUCGAGAAUCAUCUACGAUGUCAUAAUGGGACUGGACAGGGCAAAAAGAGACAAAGAAGAAAAGAAGAAGAAGAACAAGGCUGUAAUCAAAUACAUCAACUAG
rnacentral:rRNA from 1 species